rnacentral:lncRNA from 1 species
CCAGAGUCAGAGCCUGUUGGGCUUCAGCUUCAGCAGCAGCUUGGGCUUCUGCAUCCGCCAGAGCUUUAGCUUCAGCUUCCUUUUGCCUUAGGAUUUCAGCUUCCUUUGCAAGCCUUUCUUCUUCUAGCCUUCUUGUUUCUUCUGCUUCUCUUGCAAUUCUCUCUUCCUCUAGCCUUCUGGCUUCAGCCUCUCUGGCAAGUCUCUCCUGGAGUCUUGCCUCAGCAUCUCUGAUGUAGCCAUUUCU